UCCCCUAGUAACGGCGAGUGAACCGGGAAGAGCUCAAAUUUGUAAUCUGGCUGUCUUCGAUAGUCCGAGUUGUAAUCUAUAGAAGCGUUUUCCGUGCUGAACUGUGUAUAAGUCCCUUGGAACAGGGUAUCAAAGAGGGUGACAAUCCCGUACUUUACACAAUCAUCAGUGCUCUGUGAUACGUUCUCUACGAGUCGAGUUGUUUGGGAAUGCAGCUCAAAAUGGGUGGUAAAUUCCAUCUAAAGCUAAAUAUUGGCGAGAGACCGAUAGCGAACAAGUACCGUGAGGGAAAGAUGAAAAGCACUUUGGAAAGAGAGUUAAACAGUACGUGAAAUUGUUAAAAGGGAAACGAUUGAAGUCAGUCGUGUUUAUUGGAUUCAGCCGGUCUUCGGUGUACUUCCUUUAAACGGGUCAACAUCAGUUUUGUUCGGUGGAUAAAGAUGCUAGGAAUGUAGCUUCCUCGGAAGUGUUAUAGACUAGUAUUGCAUACACUGGAGGAGACUGAGGACUGCAGCUCGCCUUUUGGCCGGGGUUCGCCCACGUUCGAGCUUAGGAUGUUGACAUAAUGGCUUUAAACGACCCGUCUUGAACC
rnacentral:rRNA from 1 species